rnacentral:lncRNA from 1 species
GCUGUUGGACUUAAUCUUUCAGUGCAUAUCUUUGUAGUUCUGCUCACUUGUCAAAUUGUGACUAUGAUCCACUAGCACAUCUGAUUUAGGUGAGCUGUGUUAUUCUACAUGCAUACAGAAUACACUUGUUGCAAUUUCUACCUGAAAUGUUUCCCCUAACUUCAGAAAUCAGAGGGUACCUUGAUUAAUGAAAAAAUAAACAGGUCUCCAGCAGCAAAGAAGCCUCCCCCAGUGAUAUAUGGGGUGCCCAGGCAAUAGUCACGCUUGCAGUUUGAGCCCAUCUGUUUUUUCUGUUCACCUCCUGAGUACUGUCCCCUUGUGGUUUGCAUCAUUCCCUGAGACCAGCCAACUCCAGCCCUCAAUUCACUCUUUCAAUAGCUGUUUUAUUUAAACACACUCCUCUCUUUGGAUGCCAGAUGUGAAGUUUCAAGGCAGCAGAGGCCAGGCUGGCCAGUGCUGUGACACCUGCUUUAGUAAGCAAGCCAGUCAGCUGCUGCUUCUGAUGAUGUUGGCCCUCUUUCAUGGACAGCAUGAGGGUUUCACCCCACCAAGUGCACACACAGGCAGCUGAGGGAGACUCAUAAAUUAUGGUUUUGUUUGUUUACUUCAGGCAGACAGCGUGGUGUAGUGGAAAGAGCCCUACACUUGGAAGCAGAAAGCAGAGGUUUGAGUGCUUGCUGGUUAUGUGACUUGUCCACAGAGCACCUUUCUCUUCAUAGCACUUUUCUUAGCUAUUAUUUCUCUAUUUGCUUAUUGGCCAUCCCCUCUCUCACAGUAUAAUCUCCAGGAAGGCAGGGAUUGUCUUGUCCAUCAUUCUAUCUCCAGCACCUAGGACAGUACCUGGAACAAAGUGAGUUCUUAGAAAAUAUUUAUCGAAUGAAUGAAGUUUAAAACUGCCUCUCCCAAUGUGGUUAGAGUAUCUAAUGGGGGACCUAACCACAUUGGGAAUUGUCAGUGAAGAUUUCCUGGUGAAAAUGGCACUUAAGUUCAGACUUUAGAGAUCAUGAGGUGUUGGUCAGGCAAAGAAUUUCAGGCAGAGGAACAGUGUAUGUGAAGGUCCUGGGUGGGCAUGUGGUUGGAGCACACUGAUCAACAGGGAGGUAGUGCUCAAAUUAAGGCUAGAGAGGUAACCUAGGCCAGAUGGCUCUUUCAGAGGCUUGUAGGCUGUGGCUAGGAAUUGUUAUUCUCAAGUCAAGGGGAAGUCAUUGAAGACAAUUCCUAUCAUUAUAGAGACCUCACUAGUUCAGACAAAAGGGAGAGCUGGACUAUUCCUUAAUGCCUGUUAAAAGUCAGUAGAAAACAGAGAUUCCCCCACCGUACUCAUGAAAAUAGGCCCAGGAAAGGUAGGUGACUUACCAAGUCUGUUGUGUAAGUAGUGGUAGAACUUGAUCCCUAAAAUUCUAAUCCACUUCUCAGUAACUCUAUCACAUUUUGGAGUUGAGAAAUUUUUUUUCCCCUCAAAUCCUUCAGAUGGCUAAAUUUUGGACCUAAAUGCCUUGUAAUAGUAACUCUUCUGAAAACAGAAUGUCUCCUAAGCAACUUGUAAGGAAAUAUGACAGAGAUAAAUUUCUCCGGAGCAUGAUGCUCACCUUUUGGGUAACUACAACCAAAUCUUUGAAGCAUGUUAGAUUAUUCUUAGGAUAGAUUCUUAGAAAUAGAAUUACUGUGUCAAAGGAUAUACAUUUACAGAAACUCUUGAUACCUGUUGCCAAAUUGCCCUCCCAAAGGUUGCAUCAGCUUUUAUGCUCAUCAUCAGUACAUAAGAAUGAUUUUCUCUAGAGGUUGGGGAUGUGGCUCAGUGGUAGAGAGCUUGCCUAGUGUGCGCAAGGGAGGCAUCUUGGUUGUGCAGAUGCUGCCACUCAGACUUGAUGUCCUUCCUAGAGACUUAAGCAAGGCCUGUAAAGCUGUUAGAACUUUUUUAAAUUGGGAGCCUUAAAAGUACCUAAAAAGUAAGAAAACUUCUCCAGCAGAAGCCGGGGUACAGAAAAAAGUGGCAAAUUAUCACCUCAAGCAAGGUUGAGAGAUUGACACGACAGUAUAGUAAUAAUACCACAGCAGCAGAUUUGGGGACUCAAGUCAGAGAUCUUGGUGAUUGUUACCCUCACACAUGACUUUGUCCCCAGAACUGAAGUGAUGGGCUUGUAUCUUUAUCUCCCACUGUUACCUGCCCAACAGAGUGGGUGCUGUAGCUGUUUUCAGUAGUUAGUUGUUAAUUCAGUAAUAUUUAAUGUGCUAGGAAGUGGAAAUAAAGUGAGGAUUAGGACAGUAUGGUUCAUGUUCCCACAGAAUAUUUGAUCUAGUGAGGCUUACCUAUAGGUCAAUAAGCAAUUGCAAUAACUUAAAAGAAGGGCUAGGAGAGGAGAAAUAUGGGGUAUUGUAAAAACAUAUAGCAGGUCCAACUCCAGGCUUUUUGAGUACGGCACGGCAAGAGCUUAAACCCCAAUUAGGACAGGGUGUAUAUACUGUGUUCACUGCUGUAUCCAAAGACCUUGACACGUGGUGGCUUCUCCAUAAACAUUUGAUGAAUGGAUGAAUAAAGUGGUAUUUAAAUUGAUUGGCCAGGGCUGGGGUUGUGGUUCAGCUAUAGUGCGCUCACCUAGCACAUGUAAGGUCCUGGAUUCAAUUCUCAGCACCAAAUAAAAGUAAGUAAACAAAAUAAAGGUAUUGUGUCCAACUACAACUAAAAAAUAAAUAUUUUUAUUUAUAAAAAGUAAGUUGGUAGGUCAAGUUGGAGAUAGGAAGAAUGUCCCAUACAGAGAUAAAGGCAAUGUAAAGAUCUGGGUAGAUGAAGAACAGUUCAUUGUACCUGAAGUAAGAUCAAG